rnacentral:rRNA from 1 species
UACGUAGGGUGCAAGCGUUAAUCGGAAUUACUGGGCGUAAAGCGUGCGCAGGCGGCCAUUCAAGUCAGGCGUGAAAGCCCCGGGCUUAACCUGGGAGGUGCGUCUGGGACUGGGUGGCUAGAGAUCGGGAGAGGAGAGUGGAACUGCGAGUGUAGAGGUGAAAUUCGUAGAUAUUCGCAAGAACACCAGUGGCGAAGGCGGCUCACUGGCCCGAUACUGACGCUGAGGUGCGAAAGCGUGGGGAGCAAACAGGG